AAUGAACGCUGGCGGCGCGCCUAAUACAUGCAAGUCGAGCGAGAAGACGUAGCAAUACGUUUGUAAAGCGGCGAACGGGUGAGGAAUACAUGGGUAACCUACCCUCGAGUGGGGAAUAACUAGCCGAAAGGUUAGCUAAUACCGCGUACGCUCCUUGGACUUCGGUUCAGGGAGGAAAGCGAUACCGUGGGUAUCGCGCUCUUGGUUGGGCUCAUGUCCUAUCAGCUUGUUGGUGAGGUAACGGCUCACCAAGGCUUCGACGGGUAGCUGGUCUGAGAGGACGAUCAGCCACACUGGCACUGCGACACGGGCCAGACUCCUACGGGAGGCAGCAGUAAGGAAUAUUGCGCAAUGGGCGAAAGCCUGACGCAGCGACGCCGCGUGGGGGAUGAAGGU
rnacentral:rRNA from 1 species